GUAAGGAUCAAAGUCACGGGGGGCGGAGCCAAGCCACGGACCUGGAUGGCUGCAUGCAACCGAAGCUCCGGACCAAACGGCCACACAAAACCCCUACAAAGUGCACCCACCAGCACUGCUAACGAGGAGAGAGGAGAUGGGCCGGAAAACUAAAAAGGCCAGGCCCAAUAAGCCCCGGCUGAGAGGCACUAUUGGAGACCUAUG